rnacentral:tRNA from 1 species
GGGGUUGUGGCUCAAUGGUAGAGAGCUUGCCUAACACGCAUGGGGCACUGAGUUUGAUCCUCAGCACCACA